UCNGGAUUUAUUGGGCGUAAAGCGAGCGCAGGCGGUUAGAUAAGUCUGAAGUUAAAGGCAGUGGCUCAACCAUUGUAGGCUUUGGAAACUGUUUAACUUGAGUGCAGAAGGGGAGAGUGGAAUUCCAUGUGUAGCGGUGAAAUGCGUAGAUAUAUGGAGGAACACCGGUGGCGAAAGCGGCUCUCUGGUCUGUAACUGACGCUGAGGCUCGAAAGCGUGGGGAGCGAACAGGAUUAGAUACCCUGGUAGUCCACGCCGUAAACGAUGAGUGCUAGGUGUUAGGUCCUUUCCGGGACUUAGUGCCGCAGCUAACGCAUUAAGCACUCCGCCUGGGGAGUACGACCGCAAGGUUGAAACUCAAAGGAAUUGACGGGGGCCCGCACAAGCGGUGGAGCAUGUGGUUUAAUUCGAAGCAACGCGAAGAACCUUACCAGGUCUUGACAUCCCGAUGCCCGCUCUAGAGAUAGAGCUUUACUUCGGUACAUCGGUGACAGGUGGUGCAUGGUUGUCGUCAGCUCGUGUCGUGAGAUGUUGGGUUAAGUCCCGCAACGAGCGCAACCCUUAUUGUUAGUUGCCAUCAUUCAGUUGGGCACUCUAGCGAGACUGCCGGUAAUAAACCGGAGGAAGGUGGGGAUGACGUCAAAUCAUCAUGCCCCUUAUGACCUGGGCUACACACGUGCUACAAUGGCUGGUACAACGAGUCGCAAGCCGGUGACGGCAAGCUAAUCUCUGAAAGCCAGUCUCAGUUCGGAUUGUAGGCUGCAACUCGCCUACAUGAAGUCGGAAUCGCUAGUAAUCGCGGAUCAGCACGCCGCGGUGAAUACGUUCCCGGGCCUUGUACACACCGC
rnacentral:rRNA from 1 species